AGCAGCCGCGGUAAUUCCAGCUCCAAUAGCGUAUAUUAAAGUUGUUGCAGUUAAAAAGCUCGUAGUUGAAUUUCGGGGUCAGUAGGCUGGUCGUGCCACAGGUAUGUACUGGUCUCACUGAUUCCUCCUUCCUGAUGAACCGUAAUGCCAUUAAUUUGGUGUUGCGGGGAAUCUGGACUGUUACUUUGAAAAAAUUAGAGUGUUUAAAGCAGGCUAACGCUUGAAUACAUUAGCAUGGAAUAAUGAAAUAGGACGAUCGAUCCUAUUUUGUUGGUUUCUAGGAUUGACGUAAUGAUUAAUAGGGAUAGUUGGGGGCAUUAGUAUUCAAUUGUCAGAGGUGAAAUUCUUGGAUUUAUUGAAGACUAACUACUGCGAAAGCAUUUGCCAAGGAUGUUUUCAUUAAUCAAGAACGAAAGUUAGGGGAUCGAAGACGAUCAGAUACCGUCGUAGUCUUAACCAUAAACUAUGCCGACUAGGGAUCGGAUGAUGUUAAUUUUUUAAUGACUCAUUC
rnacentral:rRNA from 1 species